GUCCCUGUGCAGGAAAAAACAAGGGGUAAAUGGCUGGCUGUCCUGGCGCAGGACUCCCAAGGCAGCUCGUGCCUCCCUCUGUGUUGCAUCAAGCUCAUGCACCAGCCUCCAGUCAGAGAGGGACUGCAAAAUGCAGUCUCAGUCUCACUGGCUGGACAAGAGCAGCUGUACCACCCAAAAGGCUGCACCCACACCCUCCCAAUCGUUCCUAUGCAUGAUUAAGUAUGAGCAAUGGGAUGCCCUCAGUUUCCCUGAGACUGCCUUGGUGCCAAGGAGUUAGCCCCUCAUUGUCAUAGCAACAGCAAAAAAAUUGUGCUCUGAAUAGUCAUAAUCAUGCAAAAUGGUAGAAAAACUGCAUCUGUUCCAAGAAUCUGGAUUUUCUUGUCCUUCCUAAGGUGAGGAAGCUUUUUGCCUGUAACAAAAAGACACUUAUAAACACGUCUUGACUGAAGGAGUUAUCAUCCAGCAGCAUAACCACAUUUUUAGCUGACCUGCUCAGGGUUAAAUACUGGCACAGAGACACAUAAGCCAGUUUCCCAUGGCCAGUUGCAGGAUCACAUACAAAAAACUUUGACAGCAACAAGGAGCCCACAGAGCUACACAGCAGCACUUGCAAUGCUGGGCUCUGGACUUCUGUAGUGUAGUUGUCACUGGCCUCUGGCUGAGGUGAUGAGCAGCUUGGCUAUGCUUAUGCUAAACCAGAGCAGUCUAUGGCUCCUGCCUGUUCUUCUCAACUUCAGUUUUCUAAUUUAAAGAAAACUGAAACAAUAUGAAGAGGUGUUUCCUUUCUGUCAUUUCUGAAGAACUGCGAUAAAGACAGCUUCAAAAUAGUCUGACCUGCUCUCCAAAAGAACCUGGAGAACAAACGAGGAAGCCCAACGGCUCUAUCAGGAGUUUUAACAAAGCGAGUCAAAAAUACUUCUGAGAUAUUUCCCAUCAGUGCCUGUUUUAUGUUCUUUGAAGUGGCUGCUGGAGAACAGCACAAGAUUUGCACAGACAAAUGGAUGAAGAACAUUAUCCAUUCGAUAAUUACUCAUAUGGAUAUAAUUAUAAUGAAAGCAAUGUCUGUGAAAUGGGUAACUAUUUUGUAUUUUACACCCAUCUCACUACUGUCCUUUACACUCUGGGAUUUUUGCUCAGCCUGCUAGGAAACACUCUAGUGUUAUGGAUCCUAUUUAAAUAUGAAAACCUUACAUCUUUAACGAACAUCUGCAUCAUGAAUCUCUGUGUCUCUGAUUUAGUCUUCUCCUGCAUGCUGCCUUUCUGGGCAGUGGACCAGUCCUUUGGGUGGAUUUUUGGUGAGUUCCUUUGCAAAGCGGUGAACGCUGUUUUCUCCAUUGGCUACUACAGCGGAGUUUUCUUUUUGACUCUCAUGACUAUCCUGCGGUAUUUGUCUGUAGCGAACCCCCUUUCAACUCUGAGAUCCCAGACACAGUGCUGUGGUCUUCUGGUGAGUUUGGUUGUUUGGACUUGCAGCGUAUUAAUUGUGGUUCCUGAGAUGAUUCACACCACAGUGCAAGAACGCUUGGAAGGGGACAAGACCUGUGAUUAUGCUGACGAGAACUGGAAAAAGGUGGACAUUUAUCAGAGAAAUGUACUCUUCCUGCUUUCCUUUGGGGUUAUUGUAUUCUGUUAUUUCAAGAUACUGAUAAUCCUGCUUGGAGCAAGACCUCGCAGAAAGCACAGAACUGUGAAACUAAUCCUAAUUAUUGUGGUGGCUUUUUUCCUGAGCUGGGCACCUUACAACAUCCUCAGCUUUCUGAUUACUUUUCCACCACCUACCUGUCAGUACCAAAGAGACUCCAACCUUGCCUUUCAUAUCAGCCGUAAAAUCGCUUUCUCUCACUGCUGCCUCAACCCCGUGCUCUACGUAUUUGUCGGCAUCAAGUUCAAGAGGCAUUUGUUACGUUUAUGCAGUCAGUAUUUACCCUGUGGUAAUGGUCAAGUCUCCAGCCCCAGGAUCUGCUCUGAAGGCAAAUUCCACUAUGAAGGUGCGUCUAUCUACUGAAGCAAGACCUACAUGUUAGCACUAAUCCUGGAUGAACUUUCAGAUUUUAAAAGCCACGGACAAUCUCUAAUUCUUAGAGGCACUGCUCUGAGAAAUACACAAAUUUACGCUUGGCAAUCUUGCUGUGUAUGGAAAGUGAUAAAAAAAUGUAUUUGCAGUGGGAUGGAGAGCUGAGAAUGCUGAGAAAUUAAUUCAUUGGCCUGAACCCAGAGCAGCAGCUUUUAGCCUAUAUACUUGAAUGCUUUCUGCUUUACAACUCUAAAAAACCCUGCUUCGCAGAGAUGAUAAUUAGGUUUUAAAUAGAGAUAUAAACAAAGCCAGCCAUUUGUUUGUUUUUGUCGUGUUUCACAUCUGUCUAAUUAUCAGAUAUGCUUAUUUCUCUAAGGUGUGUGAGUGUCUGGUCUAUCUAACCAGCUGCCUGGCCACAUGCAAGUCUUUCAUUUCAUGCAUGCAUUUCAUCUCUGCGGCCGGGGGGAAGUGAAGUGCAAAUAGUUGCAUGAACCUAGCUUUGGAAAUAAGAGGGCAAGUUGUGUUAAGUGCAGGAGUGUCUUUACAUGACUGUUAAAAUAUGAUUUCCCAACUACAAGCAAGUUAAAAGAAUUCAGUUCAACUGCACACAUUUUUGCAUAUACAUUCUGAUUACACAAAUCAAGCCUUGUGGUAAUUUUCUCAUGGAAGAUGAUAUCCUUCUUCAUGAUAGAUCAGUGGGGGUUUAUUCCCCUCAGACAGUGCAACACAUAGUCCAUACUCUGGUGUGGCUGAAAGACAAAGCCUCUGGAAAUCAGAAUAUUUCAUUUCCUAGCAUUUGUAUAGAAAGCCUAGGUGGUUUUGCAGUGGCACCUAGAAAUGGUUUGGCAAUGGUUCUAAGCAACUGUUCAGCUUUUUGGACAGCCAUCUUAAAAUGUCUCUGUGUUGUUUCCACACUAUUCCAUUCAAUCUCUAAAGAUGACCUACAGCACACAACAGAUUCUUCUCAGCUGCUGUGUAAUUUAUAAAAAAGCAGAAACUCCGACAAGCCUAUAAUACAAUAUCCUACUUCUGGAGCAAGAAUAGCUAGGGAAAAGCAUAAGAAUGGGGCAAACAUAAAUGACACAUAUCCAAACAGUCGUCCUUGGGCUUGCCCAUAGUCUCUAGUUUGUGCUUCAGCUUAGCUGCCAGAAGAAAGUGAUUAUAUCUUGUCCUUUAUCAUCAGAUGCACCUUUCUGAACAAGCCAGUCCUGGCAUCCCAUUACAACAGUUAUUGCCCAAACCUUAAAAAAUAAAAAGGUUACUCAUUAAUCCCACAGGGGAACUCAACUCUAUUCAGACAAACCAUGGAAAGACAGAAGUUGUCAUUUGCCUGGUUGUGGUGGAGACCAUCUUUUGGUUCUUGUUUCCUGAUAAAAGACAUUUGAAAUGAAUGUGUUUGCUUCUAUGCGCUUCAAGAGACUUUGGACUGGGGACUCAAUGCUUCCAAUUAUGAAUAUACAACCUACUGAAGGAGAAAUGAGUCCAGAUUCUUCUUCUGUUCUGGUAAACCAGGACCACUUCACCAGCAUCAGCAAAGACCUACAAGAGGGAAAUUCUGUGAUGACAAGUAAAAGAAGGUCUCAUGCAACUCACUGCCCUAGAGCUUACAAUACCCUGAAAUCUUUACUUCCAGUAGAUUUUACAUUUAUCUAAAAAAAGCUAAGAAGUAUAACAGAAGCAUGAAAGAUUUAAAUUAUCCUGUUCUGCCUAGUUUUUAACAAGUUAUUUAAAUCUGCUUGUAGCUUGAACAUUUUUUUUUACUGUAUAUUUGAGCACGUAAAGCAAAUGCUUAAGAUUACAUAAUUGUACUGCCACCUACCAUAACCAAAGUAAUUCAGCAUGCGGAGAUUUCCCCUCCUGAUAUAAUAAAGUGUUACUAAUAAGCAUGAGAAAUUCAAUGGAAUAUUACACUCUGAGUACUGUUUUUCACAUUCAAUAACCACCUACUAAUGUUGAGGUAUUUUUAAUUGAAGAAGUAAAUGUGAAUUUUCAUACAUUAAUUUAGCUUGGAAGAGACUCUGGAGGUCAUCCACUCCUCCAUGUUGCUCACAGCAGCUGUGUCUUCUGAGUUCGCCAAGGUUGCUCAGGGCCUUGUCUAGUCAAACUCUGAAAAUCUCCAAGAACAAGGACUGCAUAACUCUUCUGUUGUCCCUGUUCCAAUUCUUAACAACUCCCAUGGUGCAUUUUUUUUCCUUCUACACAAACUAAAUAUCUUUUGCUGCAACUUCAGGAUGUUUUCUCUUCCUUACCUUCUCUAUGUCUUUGUACUUGUCAUUAUUGAACUUCCAGGACUCCCACCGGCUCAUUCUUCAAGCUUGCUUAUAUCUCCUUGCAUGGCAGCCCUAAAACUCAUUGCACAUCAGUUGCUCCCUCUUAUGUGGUGUCAUCCAUGAACUUGCUGAAGGCCUGCACUCUGUCCCAUCAUCCAAGUUAUAAAUGAAAAUGUUAAACAGUAUCAGCCUCAGUAUUGACCAUCAAAGCAUGCCACUCAUAACAAGCCCCUCAUUAAGAUUUCAAACCAUUGGCCAGUACCCUUUCAGUCUGAUUGUCCAGUCAGUUUUUCAUCCACUUCAUUGUCAAGAGGAAAUAUGUUAGUGUACCUUCCAUCUUUGUUUAUACACUUUAUUAAGGCUGAAGCCACAGAAUGUGCUCCGUGCAGGUCUGAGGAUGGGCAGCCCGUGCAUCUCUUUGCUUCUGGGAGCUCCAGAUCUUGGCAAAUAUAUAUUGCACUGCAUAAAACAUAAUGCUCAAGGGAUACCGAAUCUUUAAUUUCACUCAAUCAAUCAACUACUAUGUGGUCUGAGCAAAUGCAGAACUGAGAGAAAGAAGUUCAUGAAGUGAAAAAGAAAUCAAUUGCUUUUGGAAACCACAGCCUAUUUGGGGGAGGGCAGCGGUGUCAGACUGCGUGGUCGCAGAACCACUACUGUUGUACACUGCCAAGAAUGCCUUCACACAGGAUGGCAGGUCUAAAUUCAAAUGGAAGUUACAGUUAAGUGGACAUGCUCUUGCUGCUCUAAGUCCAUAUUAAGUUCCACCAAAUGCGAACAUGGGAACAGUGGCUUCUCCCACGAGCAAUGUAGCUGGAUUGGGCCCCUCUCCCUACCUACCUUUUCAGCGGGUCAACUCAAAACUGAGCAUCACUGCCACAGGCUGUCAGAGCUCCCACCUUCUCUGCAGCCCUGGGAGCCUGUAUCAGGCAAUGACACUUCAAUAGAGAAGAUUCUCACUGAUAAGAAGGCAUGUAACCAAAUUAAUUCUUUCCACUAAUAUUGUAAACUGUCUUAAAUAACAUAAGCAAACAUUUAAGAAAGCAUCCUAUUCCCACUAAAAUCAAUGAUACUUUUGCUUCUGAUCAUAAUCAGAGCAAGCAGCAGUCUCAUAAAUGAGUGCAAUGCACUGGGAAAGCACAGCAUGCAUUGCUUAUUGCCAGAAGCAUUUUCAUCAUGAGUCAGGAUACCUAUAUCAGGAUAUUUAUAACUCAAUAUUUUGAAAACGCCGCUAGUGUGAUUAAAAUCAUAAAUGAAAAUCUAUUUUAUAUCCUCUUUAUGGUUACUCAUCAGUUUAAAACGCUCUUGCUCAUCCAGUGUUUAAAUAGGAAGGCCUGGUGUUAAGUGGAAAGAAGUUCAUCUGACAUUGUCUUGUACUGAUGAGAUGCCUACAUGAGCUUCAGGAAACAAUAAUAAACCAAGCACACAAAUAAGAAAAGAAAAUGACGUGACGGUUAGCUGUCGGUCAAAAUGAGAACAAACAGUAAGAAGUACAAGUAAAGAUGACCUAUAAAGACCAGUUGCAUACCAUCAGAAAGGAGGAAUAAACACAACAAUGCUUCACUUGCCAGCACAGAGCUGCUCUUGAGAUGAACUCACUUGCUCCAAAGCAUGCUCAAAGUUGAAAGUGAGCCACAAGAUUUUUAGUCACUUAAGACACCCUAUUCACAUUUAAAAUACGGUGAACACUGAAGCUGUCUCACAGCAAACACCCAUUUGAAGAGAUUGCUUCCAGCAGUCUUUCUCUGCAUCUCACCUCCUUCAUGUAAGAAUGUCACAGCGGUGAAAGCUUAGAGAACCCAGUAAGGCUGGCCUUGCACAAAACAAUUUGUGGUUUGCAAAUACAAUGAUUAUUUCACUUUAUUCGCAAAGCCUUUUGUCUAGGAUGAAGUAACCAUACAGCUUGGGGGGUGCAACUAACCGGGAAGGAGCUCUGCAGAAAAGGAUCUAAGGGUCUUUGAACAUAAGCCAGCAAGUACACUCAAAUGAGGCCAACUACAUCCUGGGCUGUAUUAACAAGAGUGUAGCCAGCACG